rnacentral:rRNA from 1 species
UACGGAGGGCGCAAGCGUUGUUCGGAAUCAUUGGGCGUAAAGCGCGUGCAGGCGGCUUGGUAAGUCGGGUGUGAAAGCCCGGGGCUCAACCCCGGAACUGCACCCGAUACUGCCUCGCUAGAGUCCCGGAGAGGAUGGCGGAAUUUCCGGUGUAGAGGUGAAAUUCGUAGAUAUCGGAAGGAACACCAGCGGCGAAGGCGGCCAUCUGGACGGUGACUGACGCUCAGACGCGAAAGCGUGGGGAGCAAACAGG